rnacentral:rRNA from 1 species
UGCGCAGGCGGAAGAGUAAGUCAGUGGUGAAAGGCUGCCGCUUAACGGUAGGACUGCCAUUGAUACUGCUUUUCUUGAGUAUGGUUGAGGUAGACGGAAUGUGUGGUGUAGCGGUGAAAUGCAUAGAUAUCACACAGAACACCGAUUGCGAAGGCAGUCUACUAAGCCAUUACUGACGCUGAGGCACGAAAGCGUGGGUAGCGAACAGGAUUAGAUACCCUGGUAGUC